rnacentral:lncRNA from 1 species
AGCAAGUAUUGGAAAAGUGCUGUUAUUGGUUAGGCAUACAGUAUUCUGAUUGGUUAGCCCUUAAGUCUGUAGCCUUCACUCAGAUCUUUCCCACCUCCCUUUUCCUUCUGCCCCAGGACAAAGGAGUUGACUGGGAUGUUGGGAAUGUUUCUACAGGUUAAUUUCAUGGAAUAUUAUUUAGAGAUGUUUAUUUAGAGAUGCUUUUCUGGGUGGGGACAUAUUUCCUUAACUGCUUGCCUAUUUUAUGAUCUAUCUGUCCUAUCCUGUUCAAUACAACAGGGAGAAAAACUUAGGCAUCCCAAUGGGCAGUGCAGGAAGAUGCAAUAGAAUUAAAGAUCUUAAGAUCUCCCCUCCCCCUACACCAAUUUCUCAUCUCAGAGGAAACACCCAGGUAAGCCUGUCAGGGAUCCAGAAAAUGUUCCCUGGUAGUCAAAGUAUUCAGUGUAGACAGACAAAUUCCUUCAAGUGUGAUCUGCCUGGUAAUUGCAGAUAUUAGUAAUUCUAGUUUGUCCAGAGUUCCCUUCAUUAUUUCUCCUACUCUUAGCACUAUGUGAUUUCCUUGUCCCAUAAUUUCCCCUUGUUGUUACUCACCUUAAAUUCCCUUUUAAAAAAAUUUUUUAGUUAUAGAUGGACACAAUAUCUUUAUUUUGUUUGUUUAUUUUUAUGUGAUGCUGAGGAUCAAACCCAGUGCCUCACAUGUGCAAGGCAAGUGUUCUGCCACUGAGCCACAACCCCAGCC